rnacentral:rRNA from 1 species
AGUAUGGUCGCAAGGCUGAAACUUAAAGGAAUUGACGGAAGGGCACCACCAGGUGUGGAGCCUGCGGCUUAAUUUGACUCAACACGGGGAAACUCAGCAGGUCCAGACAUAACUAGGAUUGACAGAUUGAUAGCUCUUUCAUGAUUUUAUGGGUGGUGGUGCAUGGCCGUUCUUAGUUGGUGGAGUGAUUUGUCUGGUUAAUUCCGAUAACGAACNAGACCUUAACCUGNUAAAUAGCCCGGCCGGCUUUCGCUGGUCGCCGGCUUCUUAGAGGGACUGUCAGCGUCUAGCUGACGGAAGUUUGAGGCAAUAACAGGUCUGUNAUGCCCUUAGAUGUUAUGGGCCGCACGCGCGCUACACUGACAGAGCCAGCGAGUUUUUUUCCUUGGCCGAAAGGUCUGGGUAAUCUUGUGAAACUCUGUCGUGC